GGGUCAAAACUCUCAUCAACUUCUUCUCAUUUUUUGCAAUUAUGGAUGGAAGGCUCUAUUGAAGAUCUCAUGAACCAUAACAAAUCUCAGAUGUCGGUUCUAUAAGUGCUCUAUGUACGAGGUAAGAAAAAGAUAUUGUUUUAAACAUUUUUUCUAAGCAAAAUCUCUCACAAAUCUUUUUAAUAUAGUCACAAGAGAUUUGUUGGUGUUGAAAUGAAGUGCCAGAAAAUGGGAUG
rnacentral:lncRNA from 1 species